rnacentral:rRNA from 1 species
GACGAACGCUGGCGGCGUGCUUAACACAUGCAAGUCGAACGGAAAGGCCCUGCUUUUGUGGGGUGCUCGAGUGGCGAACGGGUGAGUAACACGUGAGUAACCUGCCCUUGACUUUGGGAUAACUUCAGGAAACUGGGGCUAAUACCGGAUAGGAGCUCCUGCUGCAUGGUGGGGGUUGGAAAGUUUCGGCGGUUGGGGAUGGACUCGCGGCUUAUCAGCUUGUUGGUGGGGUAGUGGCUUACCAAGGCUUUGACGGGUAGCCGGCCUGAGAGGGUGACCGGCCACAUUGGGACUGCGAUACGGCCCAGACUCCUACGGGAGGCAGCAGUGGAGAAUAUUGCACAAUGGGCGGAAGCCUGAUGCAGCAACGCCGCGUGCGGGAUGACGGCCUUCGGGUUGUAAACCGCUUUCGCCUGUGACGAAGCGUGAGUGACGGUAAUGGGUAAAGAAGCACCGGCUAACUACGUG